GUAGGGAAUAUUGGACAAUGGGCGAAAGCCUGAUCCAGCCAUGCCGCGUGAUAGAUGAAGGCCCUCUGGGUUGUAAAUAUCUUUUAUCUGGGAAGAAACUCCUCUAUUCUUAGAGGCCUGACGGUACCAGAGGAAUAAGCACCGGCUAACUCCGUGCCAGCAGCCGCGGUAAUACGGAGGGUGCAAGCGUUAUCCGGAUUCACUGGGUUUAAAGGGUGCGUAGGCGGGUUGAUAAGUCAGUGGUGAAAGCUCCGGGCUUAACUUGGAAACUGCCAUUGAUACUGUCAAUCUUGAAUGUCGUAGAGGUAAGCGGAAUGUUGCAUGUAGCGGUGAAAUGCUUAGAUAUGUUACAGAACACCAAUUGCGAAGGCAGCUUACUAUGCGAUAAUUGACGCUGAGGCACGAAAGCGUGGGGAGCAAACAGGAUUAGAAACCCGAGUAGUCC
rnacentral:rRNA from 1 species